CCUACGGGAGGCAGCAGUAAGGAAUAUUGGUCAAUGGACGGAAGUCUGAACCAGCCAUGCCGCGUGCAGGAAGACGGCCCUACGGGUUGUAAACUGCUUUUGCAGUGGAAUAAACCUCAUUACGUGUAAUGAGCUGAAUGUACUCUGAGAAUAAGGAUCGGCUAACUCCGUGCCAGCAGCCGCGGUAAUACGGAGGAUCCAAGCGUUAUCCGGAUUUAUUGGGUUUAAAGGGUGCGUAGGUGGCCUGUUAAGUCAGGGGUGAAAGACGGUAGCUUAACUAUCGCAGUGCCCUUGAUACUGAUGGGCUUGAAUGAACUAGAGGUAGGCGGAAUGUGACAAGUAGCGGUGAAAUGCAUAGAUAUGUCACAGAACACCAAUUGCGAAGGCAGCUUACUAUGGUUUUAUUGACACUGAGGCACGAAAGCGUGGGGAUCAAACAGGAUUAGAUACCCUGGUAGUCCACGCCCUAAACGAUGAAUACUCGAUGUUGGCGAUAUACGGUCAGCGUCUAAGCGAAAGCGUUAAGUAUUCCACCUGGGGAGUACGCCCGCAAGGGUGAAACUCAAAGGAAUUGACGGCNGAGACGUGACGACGGACGACGACGAGGGGAGGAGG
rnacentral:rRNA from 1 species